rnacentral:tRNA from 1 species
UCGGGUAUGGUGUAACGGUUAACAUUGCCGCCUCUCACCGUUCAAACGUUCAAACGUUCAUUGCUUGAAUGGAGAUCGCGGCAGCUCGGGGUUCGAUUCCCCGUACCCGAA